AGUUUAUAUGAAUUAAAUAAAGUCUGUAAAGUAGACUCUGUUGUUUUUAUGUAGAGGACCAGAUGGUUGUUUGUGGUGUUGACAGAUUUGAUCUAAUGUAAAAUGUAUUGUAGGGUCCUGUCGGUGUACAAGGUCUUCCUGGUCGUGUUGGCCCAGCAGGUCAGAAGGGGUCAAUUGGAUUGCAAGGUGAGAAGGGUGUACCUGGAGUGAGAGGCAAGGCUGGACCAAAAGGAGAAAAAGGCAACAUUGGAUUGCGAGGUUCUGUUGGAUUGAAAGGAGAACGAGGUGACGUAGGACAAAAAGGUGAAAAUGGAGUAAAAGGAGAAGUUGGUCGUAGAGGAGAUCAAGGUAUUCAAGGUCCAGUGGGUCCAAGAGGUUUACAAGGAGUUAGAGGAUUUCCUGGAUACAAAGGAGAGGUAAGUUUAGUUUACUGUUUA